ensembl:lincRNA Gm19585 predicted gene, 19585
GAGCAAUGUCUCUGUGAACUCUAUCUACUUUCAUACCCUAUAUUUGUCUGUUCAUAUCUGCCAAACACCGUAGUCAUAUGAGAGCCUUACUUUAGCACUCUUCCUGGGCAAACUUUACUCAUUAGAAACAUUUGCUCUCAUCUGUACAUCCUUGCUCCUAUUUCAUAAGCCUUAGUGAUGGUUUCUGUUAAUCCUAGGGUUUGAGCUCUAUAGGGAUCUGGCUUCUUCAUGGGUAUUCCUAGUGGAUGGCCUCAAGUCUACAAUAGAGACUGCUUGGCUGUCUGCAGUGGAAAAGACCUUCAAGUUGACUGUGAGUGGGUGCGACUC